rnacentral:rRNA from 1 species
UACGGAGGAGGCAAGCGUUAUCCGGAAUUAUUGGGCGUAAAGCGUCCGCAGGUGGCACUUCAAGUCUGUCGUCAAAGACUGGGGCUUAACCCUGGAAAGGCGGAGGAAACUGAAGCGCUAGAGUGUGGUAGGGGUAGAGGGAAUUCCCGGUGUAGCGGUGAAAUGCGUAGAGAUCGGGAAGAACAUCGGUGGCGAAAGCGCUCUACUGGACCACAACUGACACUCAGGGACGAAAGCUAGGGGAGCGAAUGGG